GAUGAACGCUAGCUACAGGCUUAACACAUGCAAGUCGAGGGGAAACGGCAUUGAGUGCUUGCACUCUUUGGACGUCGACCGGCGCACGGGUGAGUAACGCGUAUCCAACCUUCCCAUUAUUGUGGGAUAACCUGCCGAAAGGCAGACUAAUACCGCAUAGUCUUCGAUGACGGCAUCAGAUUUGAAGUAAAGAUUUAUCGGUAAUGGAUGGGGAUGCGUCUGAUUAGCUUGUUGGCGGGGUAACGGCCCACCAAGGCGACGAUCAGUAGGGGUUCUGAGAGGAAGGUCCCCCACAUUGGAACUGAGACACGGUCCAAACUCCUACGGGAGGCAGCAGUGAGGAAUAUUGGUCAAUGGACGGAAGUCUGAACCAGCCAAGUAGCGUGCAGGAUGACGGCCCUAUGGGUUGUAAACUGCUUUUGUAUGGGGAUAAAGUUAGGGACGUGUCCCUAUUUGCAGGUACCAUACGAAUAAGGACCGGCUAAUUCCGUG
rnacentral:rRNA from 1 species